GCCAUAUACAAAGUCCAAAUCGAUGCAUCAAGAAUCGCCAUGGCCGACGGAAGUCCGGAUAGCGUCAACCAAACUCCGCACAAAUUCUUCAACUUUUGCAUCAGGAAAGAAGGAAGAAAUCGUUCUCUCCCUAAUCGCUUCGUGGUUGUCUUCCAUCGGAUGACCUCUAAUCUUGAUUGAUCUUUACUUCUUCUGAAAUCGUUCCCAUGGCGUUCUUUAUUUGUCGCAGGGUUUUGAUUCCUUUUUCUUGUUUUGCUUCGAAAUCUUUCACCCUUGUUGACCCGAAAAGCUCGAUUAUUUUUGCUUUUCUUUCGAUGUUUCGAGGCACAGGCGAUUCCCAUGCUUCGGUUUAGCUUACCGAGAUUACAGAUCUCUUUGAUCGGGCAUUCUUGAGCCCUUGUAUCCUAAGUUGUCAAGCUUUGGAUAUUCUCCUGGCGUCUGGUUGCCCGAGAUUUUGUUAUGCGCUCGUUCGCUUGAACAUUCUUUAGGGGUUGGUUCAAUGGAAAUUGAGACCAAUCACUUGUCAUGGCUUCUAUCGACCUUUAGUUAGUGUUCCUAUUUGUUGAUGCUGGAUGCUUCCUCGUAAAUCUUGAAGUACUGCUUCGUGGCCUGUAGUCAGCCUUGAAAUCCAAGUCAGAGAUCGGCUAUUUAGAACGAACCCUAGAUAUGGAGGCAAAGUGUCCUGAGUGAUAUAACAUCCGAUUGUUCUUUGUUCAGUUUGCAACUAUACGAAAUAAUGUAUUCUCUCUUUUUAAAGAAACUGAUUAUAUUAAAACCAAAAGAUUUUUUGGUUGACAGUUUUGUAUUGGUUUCAUGAUUCCUUCCCAGAUGGAACCUAGUCAUCGACUUAUUACUAUGUAUGAGAUCAUGCGGCAAUAACUCUUAAUGAUUGUUGUAGUGAUGAAAUAUAUUAUGAAGUUGUAUGUUAAAAAACAUUGUUUCCUGAGUCACCGCAACAUUUGAUGAAUACCGAGUUUCUUUCAUGGAUUACAUUUAUUGUAUUUAAAAGCAUUGUUUUGAUUUAGUUAUAUAGUUUUUUAUGAUCCAGGAUCUCAUAAAAAAAUGCUCCCAUCCUGCCCUUUUUGUCAUAUAAGCCUUCCUUCAGCAGAGUUGGAGAGGCAUGCAAACAAUCAUUUUGUGGAGGAUGAACUUGAAAGCGACAUGGAAUUGGCUAUACAAAUUGCACUAGCACCCCCAAGUCCUGAAUUAAUGGAUGAAACAACAAACGAUAGAGACCUGUAUGCUGCUCAUUCAGAAAGAUCUCCGGGACAGCAUGAUUCAGACUUCAAUCAUAAUCUUCCUAAUUCUAGGAAAGUUGAUGAUCAAGAAAUGUCUUUGCUGAUUGGUUCACAAAUUAAAAGCACAUUUUAUAAUGUCCAAGGUGGUCUCAUGGCCUUGAUUAGGCGAUGCUUGGAGUUAGAAAAUGGCAACGCAAUAACUAUUGUUUCUGGUCAUGUCGAUCACUACCAGAGUAAUGAAUCAGAAGAUAUUGGUUGGGGAUGUGGAUGGCGAAACAUUCAAAUGUUGAGUUCUCAUUUGUUGGUCCAAAGGCCAGAUGCAAGAGGUGCUAUGUUUGGUGGGUCAGGAUUUGUCCCUGAUAUUUUAUCACUUCAGAGGUGGCUGGAAGUUGCCUGGAAAAGAGGUUUUGAUACUUAUGGAUUUGAUUCUUUUGGUCAAAAGAUUUAUGGCUCGAAGAAAUGGAUUGGAACUACUGAAUGUGCUACAAUCCUCCGUUCCUUUGGGCUUCGAGCAAGAAUUGUAGAUUUUGACAGUAUGACUUCUAAACAGCCACUAAACCAUAGGAAUCCUGGAUACAAAUUGGCUGGAAAACAGAGUCAUGGGCCAAUGGAUAAGUUUCUGCAGCGCACAAUGAAUGAAGAUUCUCAAGUAGGUCCAUCAGCCUGUGAUAAACACUUACCAGAAAAAGACUGUCAUCAUCAAGGCAAAAACCAAGGAAAAAUCUAUGGUCCGCAAGUCCUUGUUGAUUGGGUAUGGAAAUAUUUUGCCUGUGAAUUUGGUAGCAGACUGGACGGUUCCAAGUCUGUUCUCAUCAGUGAGAAAACGCCCUUGUACCUCCAGCGUGAUGGACAUUCACGAACCAUUGUAGGGAUUCAAAUGCAAAAGGGAAAAUGUGCAUCAGAUCAUCAUUACUCGUUAUUGGUUUUAGACCCUGCUCAUAGAACAGCUGCCUUGGAACGGUCUCUUGCCGAUAAUAAUGGCUGGCAGAAGCUGAUCAAAAGAGGAACCCACACACUGAAAAAGCCCCAAUAUCAGUUAUGUUAUGUUGAUCCUGGGAUUGCCCAUGGAGUGGAGAUGGAGCAGCUCAAGAUUAUCGACAGCAUAUUAGUUGAACUAUAAGAAAUCAGGUCUGUUUUCAUUUGUUUUACUUUAUGGAAAAAUGCAAGUUGGACCUUAAUGAAUUAAUCCCUUGGGUCCAGCAUCAUUGCAUAAACUCAUCAAAGUUUGGCUCACACAUUUCUGUCCCAGUUGGGUAGAGUUGAGACAGAUCUCAUCAAAUUCCUGCGUCUGAACUUAAAAAAGGAAUGACACAUCCAUGAUUUUCAUGUUCGGUUUAUGUAAUUAAUGUAAUUCUACAUAGGCUGGCAGCAUAGUUCAUCAUAACUCAUCAAAGCCAAAUAUCACGUACUACCAGUGGAACUAUGAGAGGGAUAAUUCUGUUGAAUCUCAUCAGACCAUAUUCUUUAAUAUUGUUUUUUUUUUAAAUCAACCAAGAAGAUGGUGUGUUUACAUGAUACUGGAUAUGCAUGGUCGGUCUUCCAAAAGCAAAAUAAAUAGCCUUGAAACUUGCCAUUUGUUUUUUUUUUGUUUUUAAUACCUGAGCCACAAAAGGAAGGCCUAUAUAGAUAGUUGUAAUAUCGCUUCUCAUUCUGGUUCAGGAAAGCAAAUUUGUCAUUUAGCCAUACCAAAUCACCUUUGGAAAUGAUCUUCUUUUCCUUUUUGUUUUUUAAUCCUAUGGGAAAACAUAUCGGACACUACUAGAAUUAGUUGCAACUAUCAUGAGUUCCUGAUUAUAUAUAUAUAAAAAAGCAUUUAUUGGUGACUGGAAUUUGAUGUUGAUUGAAAUAGCAGGUAUAUAUAUUUCUGGUGAUCCUCGAAGGAACUCACUUCUACUCUUUGUAUAUUGGUUUACAAAAUAAAUAUGAACGGGGGGGGGGGACAUGCAUCACAUAAAGUAACAACUCCUUGAGCUUUAUUGUAACGACUACUUUGUACCUAAAUUCCAUUUUUGUUUUUUAGUUUCCUUGGGAACCGUGACGUCAGGGCAACUAUAGCAUUAAACAUCGUGCAAAUUUAAUCAUGACUUGUUGUUUUGAUGGCUCAAUAGCGAGCGGGUCAACUACAUCCCCAGCCUAUAAAAUUCCCAAUCAAACGAGUUCUUCGGUUCGAUUUGCUGAUAGCGGUGGACCCCGCUGUUCGUCCACUCCCAUUGCCUUAUUAUUACUAUUUCUUUAAUUUACCACCACGAACGCCGCCCCUCUUGUUUUUGUGCCUUUGCGGCCGAUGAUAAGGGUUCGGCAUCGGCGAACGGUUCUUUGCUCGCCCUUUCUUUGGUUGUAGCUUUUCUUUCCUCUCUCUCUCUCUCUCUCUCUCUCUCUCUCUCUCUUAGGUUUGAGCGCCUGUUCUCUCCCGGUGACGGCAAGAUGCAUCAACAAUCCUUCACCGUCGACGGCUUCUUCUUGAUCGGUAUUAAUUUAAUCUACCCCCAGUCUCCUCCAUGCCCCCCCUUUGCCCUUCUCUCUGUCCCUCUCCCACCGGCGAUUCGGCUAUUUCGUUCGUCCGUUCCUACUUCUUGAAUGUUUCUUUUAUUUUAUUGAUCGAUUCUUCCGGCAGCGGCGAGAUGCUUCAUGGAUUCGCCAGGCUCGAUGGCUUCUUCUUGAACGGUAUCGAUUUAAUUCGACCCCUAAUCCCUGGGAUGAUCUCUUUCUCCUUCCUUUCCCCUUUUCUUGCUUGCUCUCCCUCUCGAUUCAGUUAUGUCGUGAUCUGUUCCAACUUCUUGGGUUUUAUUGACCGACCGAUCAAUCGAUUGAUGCCAUCUUCUUGUCGUUGGGAAGCAGUGAAGGAAGGGGUGGAUGAGAUGAUCAAGUUGUUGGCCAACGAGCCCUCCGUGGGGCUUUUCUUUGUCGAACAGCACGCCCAAACCUCCAUGCCCUACCUCCUCGGCCUCAAGGUUUUUCUUGAUUCCUACACCUAAAUGUUCAAAAAGGAGUUGUCAUGAUGUGGCUAGACAGAACGAUUACCAUAACAUUAUCGCAAGCUUUAGCUUGCAUGGCGAGGAUGUUUGGCAGUUGAAUCUUUUCGUUUUCAUUGUUCAUCUAUUGCAUUAUAUUUUUUCUCCAAGGUUUGGUGUGUGGUGCAGCUACCUAUCUUGCACUGAAUUCAUCAUUCUUUGAUCUGUGUUACUUCCUAGAACACUUUCUACGAGCAACAAAGUCAUAACAUCCUAGCCCAAAAUGAUUUCAG